rnacentral:tRNA from 2 species
GCCCUCGUAGCUCAAUGGUAGAGCGCGUCACUAGUAAUGACAUGACGAGGUUGCCGGUUCGAUUCCGUCCGAGGGCA